CGGGGUAGAGUAACGCGUGAGGAACCUGCCUCAAAGAGGGGGACAACAGUUGGAAACGACUGCUAAUACCGCAUAAGCCCACGGCUCGGCAUCGAGCAGAGGGAAAAGGAGCAAUCCGCUUUGAGAUGGCCUCGCGUCCGAUUAGCUAGUUGGUGAGGUAAUGGCCCACCAAGGCGACGAUCGGUAGCCGGACUGAGAGGUUGAACGGCCACAUUGGGACUGAGACACGGUCCAA
rnacentral:rRNA from 1 species